rnacentral:lncRNA from 1 species
CGGCUCCCUGUAGGCAGUGCAGCGGCCUGGACCAGAGCCGGGGUCGCGACGGGCGGCCGGGUGGGCUCGGGCGCGGCGGGGCGGCCUGGCCUGGGUCCUGAGCAGCGGGACAGUCGGCUGACGACGAGGUGCAGGCUCAGCGCUGCCUGGUUACCCCGCGGCCCUGGGUCGAGCGCGCCGGAAAACUCUGGGGUUGGAUCGCUUGGUGCCCACGCCGAAGCUCUGCACGGUCGAGGCCAGUCUCUGGGGUCCAGGAGCCAGGGCUGCAGCCCGAGCCUCAAGGCGGGCCGGGACCGUGGACGACCGGACAGACUGGUUUGCUGCCUGCCCGCUUGGUUUGCUGUGUUCUGUGUUGGCAAUGGCUGCUAGCUUUCCACUGGAAAUCUUGGUGGCUGAGCGAAUUUGUGACCCAGGAAGUAACAAUCUUUGUCGACAUUCGUAGCAAGCUGAGAGCCUCCAAAACCCAGACUAGCUAGCAAGUCCAGCAUUUCUGGCCAAGGAGACAUUGGGAACCCUGCGAGCCGGUUUGCACUUCGACGCUCGCGUGUGUGUUCGCUUCGGCAUUCAGCAUCCUGAAGUGUGAGGUGGCAGCUGUGUGCUUAGGAGAGGGGUGAAGGCCCCUGCUCUGCGGCUCCAGGUGAGGCCCUCCAUGUGCCUGGAGCUGGGAUUGCGGCAGCUCUCAGACCUUGCUGGACAGGGCAGUGCACACGGGGCUGGGCUGCGGUCCCACAAGGCUGUGGCUGUCUCCACGAGACUUCAGCAGGUCAGCUUAGAGUCCGAGGCCAGCCGCGGGGCUCUCCGCUUUCCCGAGGCCUCUGGCCCAGAGCUAACCAGCUUGCAGGGUGCUCAGGGCUCACAAGAACCUUCCUCUGUGCCUGGAGCUGUCAGGGUGAGGACAGGAGGGUGAGAGCGAGUGGCAGAGAGGCCUCCUGACCUCCAGGAAGGCCUGGCAUGUGGCAGUGGUCAGGAGGUUGAGGCAGGGUGGGUCCUUGGAGAAGGUGGUGGUGGUGAAGUGUCCCGGAUGUGCCUGUCCCAGAGGGUCUGGGUGGCAGUCUUUCUCCAGGACAGGGCCCCCAUGCCUUUCACUCACUGGGUAUUCCUCUCCAUGGCGUCCUGGGCAAUGCAGCACCCACCUGAGGUCUGGAGUGUGGCUGGCCUGGGCACCCAGUGCUGGGCCACCCAGGCCCUUUCCUAGACUUGCCCAGAGCCUGAGGACAGCAGCCCAUGGUCUGCCACGCUCGGGCUGCUCCAACCCAGGCCUGGAUGAGGAGGUGCUUGUCCCAUGGCCUGAAGAAGACAGUGAUGGUCAGGGAAGCCCAGGCGAUGAGCCCUUUGUCGACAAGCUCCACUCCAAGUUGGCCAGGCUGCCUGGGAGGCCCUGAGGCCCCUUGCUCUCUGUGAGCAGUGAGGGUGGCAAGAUCCUCGUGCAUGCCCUUCUGUAGGGAGAGAUUUCCUGGAGAGGGGAGCAGCAGCCACAUCUCAGCUGGGGCCCCUUCCCUAGCUCGUCUGGGUCUUGCUGCUGCCUUCCUGCUCCUGAUUCCUCUAACCCCCUGGUGAGACUCCUGUACCCCUAUCCUGGAGAUCGCACGGUCUGGGGGAGGGAGCCCUGAGGCUGAGGGCACAGGACCUGCAUGGUUGUGGAACAUGAGCAGCAGUGACAUGCCAGGGCCAAGGACAACAGUGAUGAAGACCAGGCAGGGAGGCCCCGGGGGAGGGGGUAGAGAGGAAAAGCUACCUUCCUGGUCCCCCUGAGUGUCCUAGGAGGCCAGCCAAGUCCAGCUGCUUCUGAGGCCCCACAGCCCUGUCCAUCUGUCCCGUGGCGACUGUGUACUGGGGGACAGUGGGGAGCUAUUGCUGGAGGCUCAGCUCAGGAGAGGAGCCCAGCCAGCCAGAGCCGUGGCAUGCCUGGUGGUGGGUACAGCUUUUGACCUUGAGGGCAGACCCUGUAAUCUCCGGGAUGGGGAUACAGGAGGGAGGUGGCACGGAGGCUCCCUAGGCUGCAGGUACCAGGAGGGCUGGACACUCGGUGCCCAGGGGAGGCCGUGGAAUGAGCGAGUGCCCUGAGCCUGGCCUGGCUCCUCUUUCUCUGGGGAGUCCCGGGCAUCGGGGUGCUGGUUCUGGGCAGGAAGCCCUCCCCAGGUCCCGGCUUCUGUGCUCCAACACUGGUGGGGUCCUUUGAGAGGGGAGGCGGUUGACUGGCCCAGGCUAAAAGCUGUCUGGUUGUGCUAAAAAUAUCAGGCCGAACGGGAGGCAGAUGCUAGCUAGCCACUGUUGGCUCCUUUGUCGUGCACUGGGCACUCCUGGCAGCCUCCUGCCAGGGGAUGUUGGCUGAGGACCGGUCCUGAGGGCCCUGGAUCCUGCAGGCACCUCCACUUUCCUCUCAGAACCGCUGGCCACCUUGUGUGGAUGGGCUUGGGCCGGGGUGUGUGCGGGCUCAUGGUUGGGGCGCCCUUCCAUGUCUUGUUGGAAAAAGCUCAGCAGGAGUGGUCAGGGGGCCAUAGACCAGCAGUGGCAGGGGCUGGGCUGAGGCCGGGCUGCCAGAGGUGGAGGAUGUGCCUUCUGGUACAGGUAGCCACCAGCUGGCAGCAUUUGGGUCCUUUGUCUCAGUGCCGGCUGGGUUCAGGGGUUGGUGGUCAGGGGCGUCCCCCUGCACGCAGGGCCCGUGGCUGGGUGUCUGUUUGCACUUGUAUGGGUCUGGUUGCCCGAAUGAGCCCUGCUCUUGCUAAAUGCGAGUGUUGGGGUGGAGCCACGUUCGUGUGUCCAUCAGCCCUGGUUAAUUCUGACAGGCUCCUCGAAGGAAGGAGGGCUUGUGGAUCUGCUGGGGUGGGGCUGUAUCCUCAGGAGCAGUACCACCCCUGCGCCAGCAAGUUCAUGUCAGCCGUGUUUUGGGGAGCAGAAGCUGGCAGAGCUGCCCCAGCUGGUGGUGCUGCAGGUCAGGCCUGAGCAACCCAGUGGUUCUGGGAGGGAAGCAGGGUGGCCUCCCCCAGCACAGACCCCAUGGGGACUGGGCCACUGCCAGGGAGGGCGUGGGGCUGGCUGCCCGCUGGAACUGUGUCCUGUGCCAGUCGAAGCUGUGCUGCUCAGGUGCUGUGCGGUGGUGGGCUGACCGGGGCUCCGGGUCUGUGGUCAUUGUAGGAUCCGAGUGCGGUUUCCUCUGCUGCUGUGGGUCUUGCUUGCUCAGCCUGGUCACUGGGGCUGGCAGGGGCCACGUAGGAUGCACACAGGAUGUCGUGUGGUCACACCGGCUGGCCUCACAGCCCUGCCCUUUGGGCUUGCUGCCAAGGUCAAGGGGAGCUGAGCAGCACGUGGGGAACCCUGGGCUGGUGACAGAGAGCACAGUGCCCUGGCACCCUCACCAAGAGCUCUGGCUGCAGAGGGGUGGGCUUGACCCUCCUGUGAGCAGAAGAGGAGGAGGCCCCUGCUGCUGGACUCUGCCUGGCCUCAGGCCUCUGUGCCACAUCUGGGCAGGUCUCCAGAGCCUGCCGAGGGAGGGAGGGGCUCCGAAGAAACAGUGCCCGCCACCUGGGCCGGGAGGAUGCUUCAAACCCGCAGUCCCCAAUACGCAGAAGGCUGAGGCCAGGGCACAGGAAGUCCAAGCCUGGCCUGGCGUGGACAAGCCCUGCCUUAAAUAAGCAAUAUGAAGGCUCUGGGUUCAAUCCCCAGUACUGACCAGUAAAUCAAUCCAUCUACCUGCUCCUGAAGCAGCCCUGGCUUCCUGGGCUGGGCUGGGCUGGGGUGGGGAGAGCAGCAGAAGGCUGAGCGAUUCUUGCCCGAGACUCUGAGGGGGAGUGGCCCGCAUGCCCAGCCUCUGUGUAGCACCUAGGUGGGCCAAGGUGGGCUUUUCACACGGGCCUGGCUCUGGGACAGCCCUGGGACUCGGGCGCUGCUGUGGCACAGACUCUGGCCCUGAGCCUGGCCCGGCCUUCCUCACUGCCCAGCUGCAGCCAUGGAGCGUGGCUCUGAACUAGCCAGGCCCAGGGGAUAGGGACAGGGACCCUGGAGCAGGCCCAGGUAGGGGUGGCAUGUGUCCCUCCCUCGGGCUGCCUGGGCCUUGGCCAGCUGGUGGCACCCCUGCCGCCACACUGGUCUUCACUGUGCCCUGGCCAGCCCUGGCUGGGCCCGUGUCCUGGAGCUGGAUUUCUAGUCCCCUCUCCCCAACCUGGGCAGGGCCCUGUGUGGCCCCUUCCCUAGCCACAGGGCCUGCCAGUUCAACGAGAUGAGUAGAGGUGGCUCCUCACCCCUUUCCCUGUCCAGGAGUUCCUGCGCUUUCUCCCUGUCUAGGUCUUGUCUUUUGAAUUCCUCUGUAUUAGCUGGGCAAAGUAGUAUACAUUUGUAACCCUAGCAUUCUGGAGGCUGAGGCAGGAGGUUCCCAAGUUCAAGCUCGGAGAGGGCAACAUAGGCUUAGCCCUAAGCCCAACCCUGUAUUGCAAAAAACCCCAGAAAACAAACAAAAAACCCAAUACCAACAAAUGGAUUCUUAUUAACAAG